rnacentral:lncRNA from 10 species
AGAUACACUACUAGUACCUAAACUAGAUGUUCUAAGAAACAGUAUGUUCACUGCUGGAAAAGGAGUUGCAGAGAAAGCAAGCAAAUGGUAUUCAAGAUUCACCAUGUACACCACAUCAUCUAAGGAGGAGAUCAAAAUGGCAACAUUAACUGGAGUUUGGAAGAAAUAGAUUCCAGUUCUCAAGGAUGAUUUUGAGGGGUUCAGGACUUCAGUGGAGGAAUUAUGCAGAUAUGGUGAAAAUAGCAAAAACCCCUAGAAUUAGAAGUGGAGCCUUGAGGAUGUGACUUAAUUGCUGCAAUCAAAUAAUAAAACUUGAAGGGAUGAGGAGUUGCUUCUAAUGGAUGAGCAAAGAAAGUUGUCAGACAGCAUCACAUGCUACAGAGAAAUCUUUCUUGAAAGGAAGAGUCAAUGGAGCAAACUUCAUUAUUAUCCUCUUUUUUACCACAGCCACUCAACCUUCAGCAGCCACCACUCUGUUCAGUCACCAGCCAUCAAUAUCCAGGCAAAACCCUCAACCAGCAAAAAGAUUACCACUUGCUGAAGGUUCACAUAAUUGUUAGCAAUUUUUAGUAAUAAGGUAUUUUAAAAUUUAUGUGCAUUUUUUAGACAUAAUGCUGUUGUACAGUAGACUUCAGUGUAAUGUGAACAACUUUUAUAUGCACUGGGAAAUAAAUUUGUGGUUUGCUUUAUUGCGACAUUUGUUUUGUUGAGGUGGUCUGGAACUGAACCUGCCAUACCUCCAAGGUAGGUCUGUACAGUGCCUUCAUUGAAGGCACUAAAUAAAUGGUUAUUGUUGCUAUACUC